GGGGGUAUGGAUCAAGUGCUAGCAUAUCAGCCUUGAAAGCCUGAGGCUCUGGGUUCAAACCCUAGUACCACCA
rnacentral:tRNA from 1 species